UUUUGGGCAUUCGGUUCCGGCACGCAAAAUGAUGCAAAACGGGUGCAUUUCGGCACCCGAAUGCACUAUUGCCGGGUAGCGAAACUCGUGUGGAUUUUUUCGCAACGAACGCAUGCAAUCUUCCUAAAUAUGCACUAGAACAUGUUUGGGAGUGUUUUUGGGCAUUCGGUUCCGGCACGCAAAAUGAUGCAAAACGGGUGCAUUUCGGCACCCGAAUGCACUAUUGCCG
rnacentral:lncRNA from 1 species